rnacentral:rRNA from 1 species
AAUAGAUACCCGGGUAGUCCACGCCGUAAACGUUGGGCGCUAGAUGUGGGGACCUUUCCACGGUUUCCGUGUCGUAGCUAACGCAUUAAGCGCCCCGCCUGGGGAGUACGGCCGCAAGGCUAAAACUCAAAGGAAUUGACGGGGGCCCGCACAAGCGGCGGAGCAUGCGGAUUAAUUCGAUGCAACGCGAAGAACCUUACCAAGGCUUGACAUACACGAGAACGGGCCAGAAAUGGUCAACUCUUUGGACACUCGUGAACAGGUGGUGCAUGGUUGUCGUCAGCUCGUGUCGUGAGAUGUUGGGUUAAGUCCCGCAACGAGCGCAACCCUCGUCGCAUGUUGCCAGCACGUUAUGGUGGGGACUCAUGUGAGACUGCCGGGGUCAACUCGGAGGAAGGUGGGGAUGACGUCAAAUCAUCAUGCCCCUUAUGUCUUGAGCUUCACGCAUGCUACAAUGGCCGGUACAAAGGGCUGCGAUGUCGUAAGGCGGAGCGAAUCCCAAAAAGCCGGUCUCAGUUCGGAUUGAGGU